AAUAGCAUCUCCUUUCGCAUAAAUAUUAUGCCCAUCCACAAACAAGAAUUCAUUUCAGAUCAAAACAUGAGCUACUCAACUGAGCCCUGAGCUACCUUCAAUUACCAGAGACAAGCCACCAUUAACUACUUCAUCAAUGUCUACAACCCAACCAUCAUCAACCUAAUAGCAACCACUCAUCCAGAUCCCUUCAUUAUUCGCCGCCACAAAAUCUACGCUUUCAUUCUUUUUGCACUCCUAGCAUUUCUUCAAAUCCAGAACACCGGAAGCACACCAUCACCGUUCCAUGAUCACCCUGUCACAACCCAAGCUUGUUUUCUUGCCAUUUUUUGUUACUUCCUAGCCUUCAUGGCCUCGCUGCGUUUGCCUCAGUAUUCUUCUCAGUUAAGCACAGCCAUGGCGGCUUUCGGUUCGUUCUCCUCGGCUACCUUGGUACAUUCUGAGAUCUGUCUUGAGAAUGAGGAGAUCGUGGCAGCCAAAUUCCCAAAGGCAACAACAACUCUUGCCACUGAGAUACAUGGAUCUGAUGAGUAGAGAGCACAGUAAUAAUACUGUGUACUUGAUGGAAGCACCAUUGGAAGUUGCUGUUGUAGAGAGGACUUCUUUUAUUUAGAGAGGGCUGGAAGAAAAUAAGUAACUGCCACUCGAAGCUACCAAGUUCCUCUAUCUUGUUACAUAUUGUAGAGUUCUAUUUCCGUUACCGUUGUUUUUAUUUUUACUUUGCAGGUUUUCUUUCUGUUCAUGGGAGUUGCUGUACCAAUGUUAUUCAGUAAUGAGUUAAUGAAGUAUAUAUAACUUUCAGCCU